GCCCCGGUAGCUCAGCCGGGUAGAGCGGCGCCUUGGUAAGGCGUAGGUCCCGGGUUCGAAUCCCGGCCGGGGCU
rnacentral:tRNA from 1 species